UUUCCUUUCCCAGGGUUUUGAACCCCACAGCCACCGCUCUCGUGCCUCCCUCACCUCCGAUCAAUGCUUGAAUAACACGGCUAUCGGAGGAACAAUGGCGCCGCCAACAAAAGGCAAAUCACUCUCACCUCUCUUUUUUAUUAUUAUUUAAAAAAAUAUGAAACAAAGAUAGAAAUCGAAAGAAGAAAACUCGAAAAAAAAUCACCUUCAAAUUGCUAUUUGAUUCUCUAUUUUUUUUAUUUUUCCAAUCCUUUUUACAGAUGUAAAAAUCGGCUUUUAUAGUCGAAUGAAAAUACAAAAAUUAUUCAUUUUUUCUUUUAUAUUUUCUCUACUAUUUGCUGUCACUAUUUUGUUUCUUUAUUGUUGUUGUUGUUUGUUUCUAUUGCAGGAGUGGCCGUACGAUGAUGUGGCACGACGCGUGGCUAACGCGCAGAGGGUGGUGCUGGAAGCGAUUAGGCACGUGGCGGCUUAGGCAGAUACAGCUUUAGGGUUUCUCUUUUUUUUGUAAUCGGGUUUUGGUUCGGCUAAUUGGGUUGAGUUUACGGGG
rnacentral:lncRNA from 1 species